rnacentral:rRNA from 1 species
GAUGAACGCUGUCUACAGGCUUAACACAUGCAAGUCGAGGGGAAACGACGGGGAAGCUUGCUUCCCUGGGCGUCGACCGGCGCACGGGUGAGUAACGCGUAUCCAACCUGCCUCUGACUGAGGGAUAACCCGUCGAAAGUCGGCCUAAUACCUCAUGGCAUCGUCUGCGGGCAUCCAACGACGAUUAAAGAUUUCAUCGGUCAGGGAUGGGGAUGCGUCUGAUUAGCUUGUUGGCGGGGUAACGGCCCACCAAGGCUACGAUCAGUAGGGGUUCUGAGAGGAAGGUCCCCCACAUUGGAACUGAGACACGGUCCAAACUCCUACGGGAGGCAGCAGUGAGGAAUAUUGGUCAAUGAGCGGGAGCCUGAACCAGCCAAGUAGCGUGCAGGAUGACGGCCCUAUGGGUUGUAAACUGCUUUUAUGCGGGGAUAAAGUGAGGGACGUGUCCUUCAUUGCAGGUACCGCAUGAAUAAGGGCCGGCUAAUUCCGUG